AGGGUAACUCGAUGGAGUACCCCUAGUGAUGGAGGAUAGAGAGCCUGAACCAGGCAUUUUCUGUAACCAGGCAACUUCUAGUGGUAAGACUGGGACACCAACUCAGCCAUAAAACCUUCAGUUUACAAGCUAUUCUGUCUGGAAAGUAUCUGGGUGUGAUGUAGGCACAGAACAUGUGGAAGUGGCCUACCAAUAACUGGUCCAAUUUGAAAUGUAUGUCAUGAAAGGAAACCCAGGUCUGACACUGCCUGGAUGACCAGGGAUGGAAGCUGCAUAGCCCAGAGACUUAGGAUAGGAAAUAGCAUCUUCUAGAAUAUGAUGGGAGCAGAUGCAGAGGCCCAAAGACAAACAUUAGGUGGAGAGAGAGCCCAAACUGAAGAUUUUCAUUUAGUCCCUCCCUUCGGAGCUCAGGAAGCUUUGGUGGAGGAAGAGGGGUGGAAAACAGCAGGAGAACCUCACAUAAGAAGGGCUCAGAGGGGCUUCCAGAGACUGAAGUAACCACCAUGAAGCCUGCAAGGGUCUGUGGAGACAGAGGCAGAUGAAUCUCCAUGAGUUCCAGGCCAGUCUGGUCUGCACAGUGAAUUCCAAGAUAUCCAGAACUAAAUGCUCUCUUCAUAUAUAAACAUUGUGUAAACUAAAAGAGACUGUCACAAAUGGUCCAGUUGUGCCCAAACUCCAGAUCUAAGACCAAGCACCUCCUUUCCCUCACCUCUCACGGAACUACAGUGAAAGGAAGACAUGCUGUGUGUAAUGUACCUGCUACUUCCACACCUUCUCUGCUCCAAGGACUUGACCACUGAAUAAUGAUAGUAGUUAUUUCCCCAGUUCUAUUCCUCCUCUCAGCCCAUAUGCUAGGGAUACACUCCUAAACUCAGAUCGACUUACAUCACAUUACCACUUGUCCUUUUUAGUAAAAACAGAUUCCAGUGGAUAUCCAAGACCCUAGAGAGUAAAAAAUUCAACCUACCUUCCCAGAAUUACCCUCUCCAUCCAUUCCCUGUACCACUAUAACAUCAAAUACUUCUUGACUGUCCUUGGAGAAAACUCUUUCAGCUAUCAAUACAUACAUUAUUUCUUCUACC
rnacentral:lncRNA from 1 species